rnacentral:lncRNA from 1 species
UAUGUAGACAUGACCCGAGACACUCCUCGGUCAAUAUCCAAUAGCAGGACCUGGAUGCCCAUAUUGGAUCCUACAUAUUCUACGAAGAUCUUAUCGGUUGAACCUCGGUGCCAAGGAUUCAUAUAAUCCCCUAUAUCAUUCCCUUUGUCCUUCGAUAUGUUACUUGCCCGGGAUUUGAUCGUCGGUAUCUGUAUACCUAUUUCAACCUCGUUACCGGCAAGUCUCUUUACUCGUUCCGUAAUAC